AUUGAACGCUAGCGGCAUGCUUUACACAUGCAAGUCGAACGAGUGGCGGACGGGUGAGUAAUAUAUCGGAAUCUGCCCGGUAGAGGGGGAUAACUACUCGAAAGGGUGGCUAAUACCGCAUACUAUCGGAGGUGCCGAUAUGGGAUUAGCUAGUAGGUGGGGUAAAGGCUCACCUAGGCGACGAUCCGUAGCUGGUCUGAGAGGAUGACCAGCCACACUGGGACUGAGACACGGCCCAGACUCCUACGGGAGGCAGCAGUGGGGAAUAUUGAACAAUGGGCGAAACCCUGAUACAGCCAUGCCGCGUGUAUGAAGAAGGCCUUAGGGUUGUAAAGUACUUUCAGCGGGGAGGCGUUACCCGCAGAAGAAGCACCGGCUAACUACGUGCCAGCAGCCGCGGUAAUUC
rnacentral:rRNA from 1 species